UGUGGUGACGCGUCGUCGUGUCGAUCUGGCUGGUAGGGUCGGUGGGUCGCUCCACUGCUUGGAUCAUGGCAGAUUCUUCUUGGGAGCCUCCAGAAGCCAUCUGCCCCACGUUAGCUACGGUCUUUUUGUCCACCUUCCAUUCCUGUUUCAACAUUCUCUUCUCCUUCCCCGUCCAUCAUUCCUCCAUUUUUGUUUUUGAGGAUUAUCAUACCUCAGAAGCUCUGUGCGAGCCUGGUGCUUAGUAGUUGAGACUUGCAUUGAGAGGUGCUCGACUUCCGGGAGAAAGAUAAAAGGCUGAGCAGACUUCGGCCGGCUAAUGGCGAUGCCAGUGGAGACGGCGGUGUGCAUCGCGCACAACGUGUUCCUGCUGCUCGACGGCUGGGUCUGGACGUGCGUCCUUGCCGCCGAUGAGGCCGCGCGCCUCCUCCGUUCGGCGAGGCAGUGAUCGUCAAACUUACUCAAUAAACAGAUGGCGCUACGCACACAGAGGUCACAUGGGCUUGUCGUCAGUUAUGUAUUUCUUUUUUAUGUUUAAUGCAAUCCUACUUAACUUGAUGAUGUGUAUGACACAGAAGUUCAGAACAUGCCAUUAGUAUUUUAGGUUCAGUAUGUAUGGUUAAUAGGUGUUGAAAGAUUAGCAUGGUAGGGAUGACAAAUGUCGAGCUAUUAUCUUCAUAUAAUAUAUCCAUUUCGUAAUAUUGAUCCUUUUAUCCCAUUUCAGGGCUCGUCAUAAACAUGUGUAUAUGGCAGUAGAUAUGGAUGUCAUACAUUUUAUCUUUCUUCAGUAUAUAGAGAUGUAAAUUCGAAACAGACCAUACAUAUUUUCCGUUCUUUUCAUUUUUGUUGUUUUCAAUUUUAUUAAGGAUCAGUGGUAAGAACAUAUAGGCGACAAGCAUGCGUGGUAGCAUCAUAUUCCCGGUUGCUUCUCCUCUGAUGUUUACGCAUCCCUCAGAACUCGAAUAUGUUUCAGUAAUAUAGGUCUGGACGGUGAGGAAGAUGA